UACGUAGGUGGCAAGCGUUGUCCGGAAUUAUUGGGCGUAAAGCGCGCGCAGGCGGUCCUUUAAGUCUGAUGUGAAAGCCCACGGCUCAACCGUGGAGGGUCAUUGGAAACUGGGGGACUUGAGUGCAGGAGAGAAGAGUGGAAUUCCACGUGUAGCGGUGAAAUGCGUAGAGAUGUGGAGGAACACCAGUGGCGAAGGCAGCUCUCUGGUCGACCUCUGACGCUGAGACGCGAAAGCGUGGGGAGCGAACGGG
rnacentral:rRNA from 1 species